CGGUUGAUCCUGCCGGACCUGACUGCUAUCGGAUUGGUACUAAGCCAUGUGAGUCGUUGUAGCAAUACAAGGCAUACGGCUCAGUAACACGUAGUCAAUCUAACCUAUGGACGGGGAUAACCUCGGGAAACUGAGGAUAAAACCCGGUAGAUCAUUAUGCCUGGAACGGUUUAUGGUCUAAAUGAUUCGUCGCCGUAGGGUGGGACUGCGGCCUAUCAGCUUGUUGGUGAGGUAAUGGCCCACCAAGGCUAUUACAGGUACGGGCUCUGAGAGGAGAAGCCCGGAGAUGGGUACUGAGACACGGACCCAGGCCCUAUGGGGCGCAGCAGGCGAGAAACCUUUGCAAUGUGCGCAAGCACGACAAGGUUAAUCCGAGUGUUUCCUGCUAAAGGAAUCUUUUGUUAGUUGUAAAACCACUGAUGAAUAAGGGGUGGGCAAGUUCUGGUGUCAGCCGCCGCGGUAAAACCAGCACCUCAAGUGGUCAGGAUGAUUAUUGGGCCUAAAGCAUCCGUAGCCUGUUCUGUAAGUUUUCGGUUAAAUCCAUUAGCUCAACUAAUGGGCUGCCGAAAAUACUGCAGAACUAGGGAGUGGGAGAGGUAGACGGUACUCGGUAGGAAGGGGUAAAAUCCUUUGAUCUAUUGAUGACCACCUGUGGCGAAGGNGGUCUACCAGAACACGUUCGACGGNGAGGGAUGAAANCUGGGGGAGCAAACCGGAUUAGAUACCCGGGUAGUCCCAGCUGUAAACGAUGCANANUCGGUGANGCCCUNNNUGNGNNAGUGCAGUGCCGCAGGGAAGCCGUUAAGUUU
rnacentral:rRNA from 1 species